UUUGCAGCCGAAAAUUGGUUUUCCUUCAGUUAAGUUGUACAGAUUGCGUAUAGCACAUUGACAGUUAUGUGAUACGUUAAUUUGAUUUCUUGGCUAGUUCUUUAUUUGUUAGCUUUUGAAACAUUACAAAUCAAGCAUGUCAUUGGCAGCAGAUAUAUUGCAUGAACAUUAAUGACGUACGUUGCAUGUUAUAGAUUUGAUUGUCUUAAAUUCUCACUUCUGCUCAUUUUGAAAGUGAUCAUUCUCCUAACUAUUUAUAGGGCCAAUAGGAUCUGCUAAAGUGGACCUUGCAGAGUCCCAAGACUCUUACCUGUGCCGGGUGUCUCUGCCAGGGGCAAGAAAAUAUCCAUUGUGAACUUGACACGGACAGUGAGGUCUUGAUUGAAGGAGAAGCAAGAACAGAAAACCUUCAUCAAUCAGGACACAUGACUCUCUCCUUUCACCUGCUGUUCAUCCCAACAAACCUUAACUUUGGUGCGGAUGGGAUCUUGAAGGGAGCUGUCAAGAAGCUGAUCAAUACCAGAUGACUGUCAGGCAGCUCAGACUUUAUGGAAUACGCAAGUAGAAUUCCUGUGUGCAGUUCUAAUGAAGUACUUGUUCAAAAAAGGUAAUGUUAAACAUACCUGGUAAUGGCUUUUCUCUUUACUUGGAAUUGAUAAUUCUAAAACUAUUCUUUUCAUCUCACUGUUGUAUGUUUUACCAUUUCGUGAUUUGUUAUUCAUUAAUAUCUAUUGAACUUGUC